GACGAACGCUGGCGGCGUGCUUAACACGUGCAAGUCGAACGGAAAGGCCCUGCUUUUGUGGGGUGCUCGAGUGGCGAACGGGUGAGUAACACGUGAGUAACCUGCCCUUGACCUUGGGAUAACUUCAGGAAACUGGGGCUAAUACCGGAUAGGAGCUCCUGCUGCAUGGUGGGGGUUGGAAAGUUUCGGCGGUUGGGGAUGGACUUGCGGCUUAUCAGCUUGUUGGUGGGGUAGUGGCUUACCAAGGCUUUGACGGGUAGCCGGCCUGAGAGGGUGACCGGCCACAUUGGGACUGAGAUACGGCCCAGACUCCUACGGGAGGCAGCAGUGGGGAAUAUUGCACAAUGGGCGGAAGCCUGAUGCAGCAACGCCGCGUGCGGGAUGACGGCCUUCGGGUUGUAAACCGCUUUCGCCUGUGACGAAGCGUGAGUGACGGUAAUGGGUAAAGAAGCACCGGCUAACUACGUG
rnacentral:rRNA from 1 species